CUGGCGGCGUGCUUAACACAUGCAAGUCGAACGAUGAACUUCCAGCUUGCUGGGGGGGAUUAGUGGCGAACGGGUGAGUAACACGUGAGUAACCUGCCCUGGACUCUGGGAUAAGCGUUGGAAACGACGUCUAAUACCGGAUAGGACCUUUGACCGCAUGGUUGGGGGUGGAAAGUUUUUUCGGUCUGGGAUGGACUCGCGGCCUAUCAGCUUGUUGGUGAGGUAAUGGCUCACCAAGGCGUCGACGGGUAGCCGGCCUGAGAGGGUGACCGGCCACACUGGGACUGAGACACGGCCCAGACUCCUACGGGAGGCAGCAGUGGGGAAUAUUGCACAAUGGGCGAAAGCCUGAUGCAGCAACGCCGCGUGCGGGAUGACGGCCUUCGGGUUGUAAACCGCUUUUAGUAGGGAAGAAGGGCUUCGGCUUGACGGUACCUGCAGAAAAAGGACCGGCUAACUACGUGCCAGCAGCCGCGGUAAUACGUAGGGUCCGAGCGUUGUCCGGAAUUAUUGGGCGUAAAGAGCUCGUAGGCGGUUUGUCGCGUCUGCUGUGAAAACUGGAGGCUCAACCUCCAGCCUGCAGUGGGUACGGGCAGACUAGAGUGCGGUAGGGGAGAAUGGAAUUCCUGGUGUAGCGGUGGAAUGCGCAGAUAUCAGGAGGAACACCGAUGGCGAAGGCAGUUCUCUGGGCCGUAACUGACGCUGAGGAGCGAAAGCGUGGGGAGCGAACAGGAUUAGAUACCCUGGUAGUCCACGCCGUAAACGUUGGGCGCUAGAUGUGGGGACCUUUCCACGGUUUCCGUGUCGUAGCUAACGCAUUAAGCGCCCCGCCUGGGGAGUACGGCCGCAAGGCUAAAACUCAAAGGAAUUGACGGGGGCCCGCACAAGCGGCGGAGCAUGCGGAUUAAUUCGAUGCAACGCGAAGAACCUUACCAAGGCUUGACAUAACCGAGAACGCCCUAGAAAUAGGGAACUCUUUGGACACUCGGUUACAGGUGGUGCAUGGUUGUCGUCAGCUCGUGUCGUGAGAUGUUGGGUUAAGUCCCGCAACGAGCGCAACCCUCGUCGCAUGUUGCCAGCACGUAAUGGUGGGAACUCAUGUGAGACUGCCGGGGUCAACUCGGAGGAAGGUGGGGAUGACGUCAAAUCAUCAUGCCCCUUAUGUCUUGGGCUUCACGCAUGCUACAAUGGCCGGUACAAAGGGCUGCGAUGUCGUAAGGCGGAGCGAAUCCCAAAAAGCCGGUCUCAGUUCGGAUUGAGGUCUGCAACUCGACCUCAUGAAGUCGGAGUCGCUAGUAAUCGCAGAUCAGCAACGCUGCGGUGAAUACGUUCCCGGGCCUUGUACACACCGCCCGUCAAGUCAUGAAAGUCGGUAACACCCGAAGCCGGUGGCCUAACCCUUGUGGAGGGAGCCGUCGAAGGUGGGAUCGGUGAUUAGGACUAAGUCGUAACAAGGUAGCCGUACCGGAA
rnacentral:rRNA from 1 species